rnacentral:rRNA from 1 species
GACGAACGCUGACGGCGUGCUUAACACAUGCAAGUCGAACGGUAAGGCCUUCGGGUACACGAGUGGCGAACGGGUGAGUAACACGUGGGUGAUCUGCCCCCUACUCUGGGAUAAGCCUGGGAAACUGGGUCUAAUACCGGAUAUGACCUCCUUCUGCAUGGUUGGUGGUGGAAAGUUUUUUCGGUAGGGGAUGAGCCCGCGGCCUAUCAGCUUGUUGGUGGGGUAAUGGCCUACCAAGGCGACGACGGGUAGCCGGCCUGAGAGGGCGACCGACCACACUGGGACUGAGACACGGCCCAGACUCCUACGGGAGGCAGCAGUGGGGAAUAUUGCACAAUGGGCGAAAGCCUGAUGCAGCGACGCCGCGUGGGGGAUGACGGCCUUCGGGUUGUAAACCCCUUUCAGUCGGGACGAAGCGUGAGUGACGGUACCGAUAGAAGAAGCACCGGCCAACUACGUGCCAGCAGCCGCCGUAACAC